ACAAAAGAGGCAAGGAGAUUAAAUUCUUGUCGUUUCGCGGUCAAAGUCUUGGGAGGAUUAGGUCUUAGGCGCGCUCGCUCGCAGCCCCGGUAACGGUUAGAGAUCACGCGAUACUUUAAAAACAAGGCUUCCAGCCUUGUUUUUUUUU
rnacentral:sRNA from 1 species